GGCAAGGUGGAUUAGUGGUUAGCACACAUGCAUUACCCCUGUGGUUGGGGGUUCAAUUCCCACCCCUGCCC